rnacentral:rRNA from 1 species
AGCGAACGCUGGCGGCAGGCUUAACACAUGCAAGUCGAGCGGGCACUUUCGGGUGUCAGCGGCGGACGGGUGAGUAACGCGUGGGAACGUGCCCUCUGGUUCGGAAUAACUCAGGGAAACUUGAGCUAAUACCGGAUACGCCCUCUUGGGGAAAGGCUUGCUGCCGGAGGAUCGGCCCGCGUCUGAUUAGCUAGUUGGUGAGGUAACGGCUCACCAAGGCGACGAGCAGUAGCUGGUCUGAGAGGAUGAUCAGCCACACUGGGACUGAGACACGGCCCAGACUCCUACGGGAGGCAGCAGUGGGGAAUAUUGGACGAUGGGCGCAAGCCUGAUCCAGCCAUGCCGCGUGAGUGAUCAAGGCCUGAGGGUUGUAAAGCUCUUUUAUCCGGGACGAUAAUGACGGUACCGGAGGAAUAAGCCCCGGCUAACUUCGU